GGUUGAUCCUGCCAGUAGUCAUAUGCUUGUUUCAAAGAUUAAGCCAUGCAUGUGUAAGUAUAGAGUGAUUCUAACUUGAAACUGCGAACGGCUCAUUAAACCAGUUAUAAUCAACUUGGUGAAUUGAAGGUAAAUGGAUACCUGUAGUAAUUCUAGAGCUAAUACAUGAGAAAGAUCUGGACUUUUGUGGAACAGAUGUAUUUAUUAGAUACGAAAUUGAUGGAGGAGAGAUCCUUCUUUUGAUGAUUCAUAGUAACUAGACGAAGUGCUAUUAUUAGCACUGAUACAAACGA
rnacentral:rRNA from 1 species